rnacentral:lncRNA from 1 species
CAGUGCUGGUAAGGUUCUCAGCUUCCCUGUCUUGGGAUCCUUUUCUGUAAGCUGGAUUUCAUCCAGUGGCAGCGCCGGCAUUGUGAUGACUUGUGGCGUGCGGCCACGUCCAACCGGCACCGCACUUCCGGAAGCAGGAGGCGCUUCCGGCGCCGGGCGGAAGUGCUCGGGGGGGGACGAGGCGAGCCUCCAGGAGGCGGGGCCGGGCCGCACGGGCGGUGUUUCCACUGGUGCUCGCGGGUCCGGCGGGGGUUAGUUGUGGUUUGGCGUUCUGCUGGUGGCUUAAUCGCCCUGCAGAGGUUGGCUUGGCCCUGCUAGGUUCCCCCAGGACCUGCUGCCCUGCAGUCUGGUUCUUCCUUGUAAGGAGACCCCUGUGGUCAUUUUGGUGUGGCUGGGCUGGAGUGGCUUUGAAUUCAAAGAAGGGAGAUUUAAGUGGGGUGUUAGAAUGAAAUCGUUACUCAGAGGGCAGCGAGGCGCUGGCCCAGGCUGCACAGAGCUGUGUGUGCCCCAUCCCCAGCGGUGCUCCAGGCCACGGGUGGGCCCUGGGCAGCCUGAGAUGGAGGGGGCAACCAGCCCAGGGAGGGGUUGGGCAGGGGGCUGUAAGGGCCCUUCUAACCCAACUGUGCUGUGCGUCUAUGAGAAGUGUUUGUGGUGCUGCCUCCUGCAGCUCUGCACACCAGCACAAUGCACACCCCUGUGCAGGCAGCAGUGGGAGUCUGUAGUUCCAGGAUCCCACCAAUAGCGUGGCAUUUUAAAAAUGUAUUCUGGAUACAGCUUGUAUCCAUAAUGUUGUUUUUUAAGGCAUAACAGCUGCACAAUGCAGUUGUUUUUCCUUUGAAACAACCAGCUAGGUCAACCAGUCGCCCUUUUACAAGGCAGGCCUUACUAACAUUCUGCAGGCAAAUGAAAUUACACACUUGAGGCAAAGGACACAACAGUGAACCCCACGGGACAGCUGAGCCUUCCAAAGCCAGCAAUCCCCACAGUCCACUCACCAGUUCCUUUCAGUUUUGCUUUCUCUCUGCUGUUCAGGGAGAUUUGGAAAUCACCAGGUCAACACUGCAGGACAAGGAUAAUUCCUGUCAAUAAAUACAAGCUCAAUUGCUCUCGAGAACAGACUACGUUAGUCAAGUUUACAGUGCUCUAAACCCACAGAAAUCAGGCAUUCUUGGGAUGAAAGAUGGAACAAGUGAGGCAUUUAAAACAACCAACUCACUAUGAUAGAGGUGCUUCACGUAUCUCAGCUCUCCUCCUUGACUGCAGCAGUCUCCUCCAAAACUCCAGAGCCCAGUUUUAUACAAAGCAGCCUAAAAUGGAAACCACAUCAUGCCCUCAGUCAUGUGGCUAAUUAGGAAUGAGACUGUAAUGAGGUUCUAGCUCCCAGUCCCCCAGUCCAACGUGCUCAGAAGCAGCGAGCAGUCAGCAUCUUGACUUGCCAUCCUGUUUGUAACCACAUUACAGCUUUCCCCGCUCCUGUGUGUCACACAUGGCCAGAGGAGGGAAAGGGGAAUAGGGUGGACCUCCAGCAACCCCACAGAGAAAGCUGCCUGCCUGCCUCUCCCUCCUAAUGCUGCCGUGUUCAGUACUUCCUUAUUAGCAAGCUGGCAUUUUCUCUCUCCAAAG